UACGUAGGUGGCAAGCGUUAUCCGGAUUUAUUGGGCGUAAAGGGAACGCAGGCGGUCUUUUAAGUCUGAUGUGAAAGCCUUCGGCUUAACCGGAGUAGUGCAUGGGAAACUGGGAGACUUGAGUGCAGAAGAGGAGAGUGGAACUCCAUGUGUAGCGGUGAAAUGCGUAGAUAUAUGGAAGAACACCAGUGGCGAAAGCGGCUCUCUGGUCUGUAACUGACGCUGAGGUUCGAAAGCGUGGGUAGCAAACAGG
rnacentral:rRNA from 1 species